UUUUUGUAGCGUGUUCUGGAAGCCUCCGUCGAGUGCAGCCAGAUACAAACGGUUCAUUUUACUUUCGGUUUUGUUCUCGGAUACAGACACGCAGCGUGAAGAAAGAAGACGUAGAUAUCGAUCCUUCACUAUGAAAUAUAAAGUGCUGGAUUUUUUUUCGUGCAUAGAGAGAGUGAGAGACUGUGAAAGGAGAAGAGGAGCAAUCGAUCUGGAUUCGUUUGGGUAGAGGUGCAGAGACGGAGAGAGAUUGUGUAAGGAGAAGAGCAGGAACCGGUGUUGGUUUGGUUGCGAAGAGGUGGGUGCGUGCGAAUAUUGGGAUCCAGUUUCAGCAAAAGCAAACUUCCAGGUAAAUUUGGAUCCUCUCCUUUAGAGCUUUUACCUUCUCGGGUGUCGUUACUUUGAUAACGAUUGAUUCAAUUAUUCAUAUCUGAUAUCUAAUUACGCGGAUUGAGGGAUUAUUUGGGGUUUAUGUGAAGUGGGUUUGCUUGAACAAGAGGUUUGCUUCUGUUGGGGAUUUGUUUUUUUUUUGGUCUGGAAAUUUAUCUGGUGAUGCAAGGCAUUUACUUUUACCGAGCUGGAGGUUAGACGACUGUGGGUUUUCUGUGAAAUUGGUAAUUUUAAAGAGUUGAGAUUGGUGAUGAUUGGUUUGAUGAAAAGAUUAGCAUAAUUAUAGGAAAGGUGAAGGAAGAAAUAGGUUCUGCGGCUUUGAUUUUUUGUUUCAUUGUUCACCUUUUCAGAUCCGAGAAGGAGUUUGGGUAAAACCCAAAUAAAAUUGUAGUUGAUUUCAUCACCAAUCUUUGCACUGGAGCGGUUAGGAUUACCUGGGGCAAUGUCUUCCUUGAGUAGGGAACUGGUGUUCUUGAUUUUACAGUUCUUGGACGAGGAGAAGUUCAAGGAAACAGUUCAUAAGUUGCUAUUCUUGAAUUCUGUUUCCAAAUAAAGAGCUCUAGAACUGAUCCACAGUCUCAGAGGAAAAAAAUAAGUCGGUUCUGCAACGCUGAUUGUGAAUCUUCGACAGCCCAGUUGAGAGAACAGCUCCUGUUGUCGACAACGCUAAGAACUGGAGCCAAGGGGAAGAGAAGCAUUUGGGUCUCGGUUUUGAUAGGUGCAACGAUAUUGAUCCAAUUAGGUGUGUUUUUCCUUCUUUCUUUUGUUGCAAAAUUGUUUUAAAUCUUCUUUGAUUUUGUUUGUGCUUUGUUUCCUUUGGCUUCUUUUGAUUGAUCCUCUUGAAGCUUUGUGUAUAAUUUGAAAGUCUAUUCGAUUUUGUAGUUUUUUAUACAGAAUUAUUGUUUCUUUAUUUGCUGAAUUUCUGCUUUCGAUGUAAAUUUGGGUCAUGCUUCUUAUUUGAAUUGGUCUAAUCUGUGGGAUUUGGUUAAUUUCAGUGAGUGGUUUUUUUUUUUUUUGGUUUGGUUUUGUCUUUUUAUUGCAGGCGAUUUUCUGAAAUUUGUUCUUAAUUUCUUUUAGUGUUAGUGUUUUUAGUUAGUAGCCUAGCUAUCUACCUAUUAAUAUCAUUAUACUGUGCUAACAACAAAUUCAAAGUUUAGAUAGAUUAGUCUCCAACAUGAUGGUGUAUGUAUGUACAUCUUUUAAAGAUAGAACCUUUGGUAUCUCUGUUGUGUUGAACAAGUCACCUUUAAUAUCUUUGCUAGCCUAAAGCACUCUCUGAUACAAUCAUAAACAUGCUAGAGGCAAAUCCUGCUGAAAAUAAUAGUGUAAUUGAAUCCCCUCCUAUAUUUGAUUCGAUUUUGUAGGUUUUUUUUUUCCUUCAUGUUUUUUAAUGUUAUUUGUUGCUGGGAUGUCAUUAUUUCCAGUUUUUUGUCAAUUAACAUUGGGAUUUGUUUGUUGUCUUACAAGUUUUCGUGCCUUUGGGGCUGAAAUUGUUACCUUUUUCAUAUUUUGGUGUCAUGAUCAUUUGAUUUGAUUAAGGUAAUUGAACUUAGUGGAUUAUAUCUGCAAAUAAAUGAAAAUGAUAAACCUUAUUAACAUAGAUUUUCUACUUUAAGCUUUUUAUCAAUUUUAUGUCCCGUAUAAAGAAUGGAAGUGUAAAACUAAUUAGGAUUCCUAAACCUAAUUGUGCCCACACUUUGCCGAUAUAUCAAAAAUAGUAAUUUAUGAGUAAUUCCAUCAUUAAGAAGGCUAUUUGAAUACCAAUUUCCAAUAUUCAAAUUAUUAUUCUUAAUGUGAAGACGCUUCUUUCUUUUCGAGAUUUUUUCUUGAAAUUGGCUAAAAUCUCGUUCUACUUCACAACUAAUAAGAAAUUCAUAUGCACAUAACUUUGCUUCCGUGGGCCACUUGUGUGAAGAGAACUUGAGAGCAACAAGCAUAAAAUUCUUGCAACAGAUAGAAAACAUAUGCACACCUUAUCCUUCUUCCAGUUCCAACUCCAUUUUAUUCUUUCUACUUGCAACACCAUUAAGGAAACUACAUUAGUCCACCAAAGAUUAGCAUAAUCUCGACUAGCACUUAAAUAAGGUCUAGCAUACAACAGACUGAUAGAGUCUCCAAUGGAGUAAUUCAUUCAAGCCUAAUCACACAAAGGAAGAUGAUAGGAGCCAAAAAAAGCACUUUUAACUUUUACAUGGGAACAUAUUCUCCAGUGUAAAUUUGGGUUAAAGAAUUUUCUUCAAACAGAAAACACUCUGCUAAGAAGCUGGAUGUUCAUGCAAGAGCCUUCUACUCACAACAAACAGCAACACGAUAUAGAAGGUUUAGAGCUUAAGAAUUGCAAAUUUGGUCUUGGUUUCACUUCAAAGGCAUUCUUAUCUAACAUAUGAAUAUGUUCCCUUGAAGAAUUUGCUGAUUAUGCAUGCUGCCAAAGUUUAUUAACUCAGAAUUGUCUGCUCAGUGUUUAAUAAAGGAUCAAUGACAAAAUAACAAUUUGAAGAACUAUUGGCUUCAUUUUUUUUUUUUGGUGAUAAGACUAUCUGCUUAAAUCACUGUUGAUUUUUUAUUUUUUAUAUUAUUAUAUACGAAUAUCUGCUCCACUAUAUCUUGCUUAAAAAGGACGAAGGACAUUGCAAUUUCAUUCUUUACUAAAUGAACAAUUAAUUCCGGGAAACAAUGACAAAUAGUACAAAGAGCAUAACGACACUCCAGAUAUAAUUUCACUAAUCACUUAAACUUCCUAGACAGGGCAUGAGAUGAGGACGAUAACUUUUUUAUCUUUUGGAGGGUAAAAAUGGAGCUGAUAACUAUCCUCCUAACCAAGAACCUACCCAUAUGAGAACUGGCCUCAAGAAUUAGAUCAUAUAUGCAGUGAUAGUGUGAUACCAAGUGAAAUAGGAUUCGACUAUUUGAGCAACCGUUGCAAUACAUAGGUCAUAGGCCUUUUCUAUGGGCUUCAUAAAAAAAUGCACACAAACAUACAUGAUGCAAGUACGAAACUUGAGAUUCCAAACCUUCAGAAGUGCAAGGUUGGAGUAAAACACUACAAACUUCUCACAGACAUUAUCUUUAUGAAAGCAAGCAAGUUUUUGAUUGGAAAGGAAAAUGGAAAAACUUAUUUUCAUCAUAACCUCAAAAAUAUGGAUAGGAAAGACAUAUCAUAGGUUCAACAAGAUGAUUUUAGCAAAUAAUUCAUCAGAAUUCUCCGAUAAAAAAUUUAGAAUGACUACAAAAAUCUCUUGAUCCUGCAAUUGUUGCUCUAAAAAACCAAUCGAAAACAUUAUCUUCCUUUUCCUUUGUUUGAUACUUUGAUUCGGUUAUCAACACUAAUGGCAUAAACAUUUCACACAUGUUCAAUCACUCAUAAUUAAAACCUAAGCUCAUUCUUCAUGUACAACAACAAAUUUUGUACAAAGAAACUCAGUCUUUAACUUGAAGUAGAAGUAAAUGUUGGCUGUGGUUUCUUUGCUUCUUUUGCCCAACUCUUCAAAGUAAAAUACUAAAAUUAGAAAUCUCAGAAACACAAAAUCCAGUCUUUCCCAUAUAAUUCACACAAAAACAGUAAAGGCAUUACUUUUCUUUUUGAAGUAAAAUUCCAAAUUUACCUCACAUUGGCUCCACACUAGCUCCUCCUCGGCAAGCCUUGCUCUUACAUACAGGAAUAUCCUCGAACUGUUUAGCAGGCAAUUUCUCGGACAG